rnacentral:rRNA from 1 species
UACGUAGGGGGCUAGCGUUGUUCGGAAUUACUGGGCGUAAAGCGUACGUAGGCGGUUUCGCAAGUCAGAGGUGAAAGCCCCGGGCUCAACCCCGGAACUGCCUUUGAGACUGCGACGCUCGAAUCCGGGAGAGGCGGGUGGAAUUCCGCGUGUAGAGGUGAAAUUCGUAGAUAUUCGGAAGAACACCAGUGGCGAAGGCGGCCCGCUGGACCUGCAUUGACGCUGAUGUGCGAAAGCGUGGGGAGCAAACAGG